rnacentral:rRNA from 1 species
AUUGAACGCUGGCGGCAGGCCUAACACAUGCAAGUCGAGCGGAUGAAGGGAGCUUGCUCCUGGAUUCAGCGGCGGACGGGUGAGUAAUGCCUAGGAAUCUGCCUGGUAGUGGGGGAUAACGUCCGGAAACGGGCGCUAAUACCGCAUACGUCCCGAGGGAGAAAGUGGGGGAUCUUCGGACCUCACGCUAUCAGAUGAGCCUAGGUCGGAUUAGCUAGUUGGUGGGGUAAAGGCCUACCAAGGCGACGAUCCGUAACUGGUCUGAGAGGAUGACCAGUCACACUGGAACUGAGACACGGUCCAGACUCCUACGGGAGGCAGCAGUGGGGAAUAUUGGACAAUGGGCGAAAGCCUGAUCCAGCCAUGCCGCGUGUGUGAAGAAGGUCUUCGGAUUGUAAAGCACUUUAAGUUGGGAGGAAGGGCAGUAAGUUAAUACCUUGCUGUUUUGACGUUACCAACAGAAUAAGCACCGGCUAACUUCGUG